rnacentral:rRNA from 1 species
UACGAGGGGGGCAAAUGUUGUUCGGAAUCACUGGGCGUAAAGGGAGCGUAGGCGGGCUUCUAAGUUAGGUGUUUAAUCCCAGGGCCCAACCCUGGUCAGGCACCUAAAACUGGGAGUCUUGAAUAGUGGAGAGGACGGCGGAAUUGGGGGUGUAGCGGUGGAAUGCGUAGAGAUCCCCAAGAACACCAGUUGCGAAGGCGGCCGUCUGGACACAUAUUGACGCUGAGGCUCGAAAGCAUGGGGAGCAAACAGG